UACAAUCCCUAAUCUAGAAAACUUGGGUUCUAUUUCCAGUUUUUUUCUAAUGAAAAUUUAGAUGUUAAAAGGUUCCACUACCACAAUGCGAAGGCAAGAGAACUGGACAGCCUUUUAGGAGAUAUAUACACAUCAUAAAAUCCUAAGUAUAAAAAAACUUGUCACUUUCCCAUACUGUUUUUAUUGACGAUGUAAGCAGAGAUGCUUGGAACCAGUGGAAUGAGUUAUCCUAGGCAAAAAACACGCCUGGAUAUGUGGUUUGCUUCAGUAUGUGAGUUUUUAUGCGGUAACAAUUUCAACGUGUAUGAGGUAGUUAAACACAUUAAUCAAGGUUACUAAUGGGUCUCAAGCAAAGGAUACUGUGAAGUCAUCACAACCAGAAAACAAAGUUACAAAGCGAGCUUCAGCAAUCACGAUUUGUGUGACGAUUUUUUUCAACCUUGCAUGUGGAUGUUUUGGGUAUACUGCAUUUGGGAAUGAUACACCGGGAAACCUCUUGACAGGCUUUGGAUUUUAUGAACCUUAUUUGCUCGUCGCCUUUGCUAACGCGUGCAGGAUAUCAAGUAUACCUUCUUUACUUCACAUAAACAGGUCACCCUUCGACUUUUUUAGGUCAAAUUAAUGGCUUUCAAUUUUGAAAAGUAAUUUUCAUUAAAACGAUUACGAGGUUCAUUAUAAAUUUUGAAAUAUCUAGCUACUGGUUUUUACUAUCUGAAUUUUCUGGUCGAAGUAACAACUUUUCACACUGAAAUUCUAUUGGUUUUUGUCAAAUUUUCUGGACCAAAAUACCCUUAUAUAUUUUUCUUUAUAUUGAAGUUUGGUGUAGUCAUCUAGAUUUUUCUAAAAGACUACAUAGUUCAUCAUAUUGAAUUUUCCACCUUUUCGUUUGACCUCAGAAGUCAAACUGUUCCUCAAGAACAAUCUUAUCCUUCAAGUCAAGCCAUGUCUCUUAGAGUUGAAAUCCACGUGGACUUUAUCAGCUUUCUUAACCAUUUGAGUUUCGCUUAAGGUUUUAUGUGGAUUUUACAAAAGAUAUGGAAUCAUUAUCUUCUAGUGGGCCUUAAAAGUCAGAAUAUUUAUAUUUGUAAACGAUAGAAAAUCAAAGCAAUAUUCAGUUGAUGAAAUCACAGGGGUUGUAUUAUGAUCUGAGUCAUCAUUCUCCUUUAGUUCAAAUGUAGCUAAGUUCAUUGAUGGAUAUUGAGAGUGAAGUUCAAGUUGAUGUCGGCUACCUUGCCAUUAUGAUCCACUAUAGCUAGUGUCAAGUCUAUUAAUGUAUUAAUAACAGAAGAAGAAUUAUCUUUUCUGUAUAUGUUAUGUGAUUUUAUCUCCAUCUUUUUCAUUUCUUUGUCAUCGAAGGAAUUCAAUCCCACUGGUGAUUGGACUGCGUUUCUGAAGGUAGCCUUUGCUCUUUGUUUCAUCCUUCUUUUUAAGUUCCACUUAGCAGUACUUCGCUGACAAAGUGGAGGGGUAGCCCGGGCUACCCCUAAUUAUAAGCUAGGUCCGCCUGUAGUUGCUUAUACAUAAUAUGACUUUGCUAACAGCUUUUUUAUAACCGUAGAGUCGUUUUAUCUUGUAGCGCCUUUCUGCACUUCUAAUUUUUCUACAUAUCAACAAGAUGUUUGAGCUAGGAAUUUCUGAAAAUCUUCAGGAACAUGCCAACUAUUUAAUGUGAAUAUCGUUGAGAAGGUACUGCUGAAUUAUUUUCCCGAGCAUGGUAACCCUGCAAAUUUUAGUCUUUUUUAUAACUUAUGUUUUUUUUAACCAUGUUUGAACCAACGGAUUUAAGCUAGAAUCCCACUUAAAAAUCCUUCAAUGGAUUGGGAUGUACUUGCUGACAGAGGUUAUCUGUUUAAGUUAUACAUCCUUCAAUGGAUUAGGAUGUACUUGUUGACAGAGGUUAGUCAUAUACAGUCCCACAUAGGCUGACUGAAGAAUACAUAUAAGAAGAGCCAUCAUUUAUAAACAGCAGCCCAACAAGGAGAAAAGCAUACCUUUCUCGGCCUUUUGGCUAAGAUCAAGUGUAGUAUCUGUUCUUAUCAGUUUAAUAUCUGAUAUGUAGGCCAUCGGUCUACUCGAUAUUAAUCUUAUUUUUUGUGGGGAAAGACCCAUCACAAUAGCUUGCUAUUGGGGCCUUUAAGUGUCGCCUUGGCGUUGCACUACUGCCUUGGCCUGGCACACCCCUC